rnacentral:rRNA from 1 species
GACGAACGCUGGCGGCGUGCUUAACACAUGCCAGUCGAACGGAAAGGCCCUGCUUUUGUGGGGUGCUCGAGUGGCGAACGGGUGAGUAACACGUGAGUAACCUGCCCUUGACUUUGGGAUAACUUCAGGAAACUGGGGCUAAUACCGGAUAGGAGCUCCUGCUGCAUGGUGGGGGUUGGAAAGUUUCGGCGGUUGGGGAUGGACUCGCGGCUUAUCAGCUUGUUGGUGGGGUAGUGGCUUACCAAGGCUUUGACGGGUAGCCGGCCUGAGAGGGUGAGCGGCCACAUUGGGACUGAGAUACGGCCCAGUCUCCUACGGGAGGCAGCAGUGGGGAAUAUUGCACAAUGGGCGGAAGCCUGAUGCAGCAACGCCGCGUGCGGGAUGACGGCCUUCGGGUUGUAAACCGCUUUCGCCUGUGACGAAGCGUGAGUGACGGUAAUGGGUAAAGAAGCACCGGCUAACUACGUG